GUGGGAGGGGGCUUGCUCCCGAUGACGGAGUGUCAGUCAACACUUAGGUGACUGGUCCACCGCUAUCGGGGGCAAGCCCCCUCCCAC
rnacentral:misc_RNA from 1 species